rnacentral:rRNA from 1 species
CUAACAAGGAUUCCCCUAGUAACUGCGAGUGAAGCGGGAAAAGCUCAAAUUUAAAAUCUGGCAGUCUUUGGCUGUCCGAGUUGUAAUCUAGAGAAGUAUUAUCCGCGCUGGACCGUGUACAAGUCUCCUGGAAUGGGGCGUCAUAGAGGGUGAGAAUCCCGUCUUUGACACGGACUGCCAGGGCUUUGUGAUGUGCUCUCAAAGAGUCGAGUUGUUUGGGAAUGCAGCUCAAAAUGGGUGGUAAAUUCCAUCUAAAGCUAAAUAUUGGCGAGAGACCGAUAGCGAACAAGUACCGUGAGGGAAAGAUGAAAAGAACUUUGGAAAGAGAGUUAAACAGUACGUGAAAUUGCUGAAAGGGAAACGCUUGAAGUCAGUCACGUUGGCCAGGGAUCAACCUUGCUUUUUUGCUUGGCUUACUUUCUGGUUGAUGGGUCAGCAUCAAUUUUGACUGGUGGAAAAAGUUCAAGGGAAUGUGGCAUCUUCGGAUGUGUUAUAGCCUUUGUUCGCAUACAUUGGUUGGGAUUGAGGAACUCAGCACGCCGCAAGGCCGGGUUUUUAACCACGUACGUGCUUAGGAUGCUGGCAUAAUGGCUUUAAUCGACCCGUCUUGAAACACGGACCAAGGAGUCUAACAUGCCUGCGAGUGUUUGGGUGAAAAACCCGAGCGCGUAAUGAAAGUGAAAGUUGAGAUCCCUGUCGUGGGGAGCAUUGACGCCCGGAUCUGACCUUUUGUGACGAUUCUGCGGUAGAGCAUGUAUGUUGGGACCCGAAAGAUGGUGAACUAUGCCUGAAUAGGGUGAAGCCAGAGGAAACUCUGGUGGAGGCUCGUAGCGAUUCUGACGUGCAAAUCGAUCGUCAAAUUUGGGUAUA